GCCAGGGUGGCGAAAUGGCAGACGCGCCCCGCUUAAAACGGGGUGGCCUAACGGCUAUGAGGGUUCAAAUCCCUCCCCUGGUACCA
rnacentral:tRNA from 1 species